rnacentral:rRNA from 1 species
CAAUAGCGUAUAUUAAAGCUGUUGCGGUUAAAAAGCUCGUAGUUGGAUUUCUGUCAAGGACAACUGGUCCGCCCUCCGGGUGAGCACAUAGUUUGGUCUUGACAUCUUGCUGGAAGCUGUUGCUGCACUUGGCUGUGUGGCGCAGUGUUCAGCACUUUCACUUUGAGGAAAUUGGAGUGUUUCAAGCAGGCACAUGCCUUUGGACACAGUAGCAUGGAAUAAUUAGAUUGGGCUUUUGCUCCAAUUUGUCGGUCUCUGGAGCUGAGGUGAGUAUUAAUGGGGAUUGUUGGGGGCAUCCGAAUUUAGCCGUCAGAGGUGAAAUUCUUGGAUCUGCUAAAGACGGACAACUGCGAAAGCGUUUGCCCAGGAUGUUUUCAUUGA